CUGGGCUCAAGCAGUCCUCUCACCUCAGCCUCCCAAAGUGCUGGGAUUACAGGCAUGAGCCAUCUUGCCCAGCCUAUCAGAGUUUUUAUACUUUCUUUCUUGUUUAAUUUUAUUUGUGUUUUAGGGCUCUUGGUGGUAUCGCUCAAUACGCUAUAGUGGAGACCAGAUUCUAAUACGCACAACACAGAUUUAUACAUACUUUGUUUAUAAAACCCGAAAUAUGGAUAUGAAACGUCUUAUCAUGGUUUUGGCUGGAGCUUCUGAAUUUGAUCCUCAGUAUAAUAAAGAUGCCACAAGCAGACCAACGGAUAAUAUUCUAAUACCACAGCUAAUCAGAGAAAUUGGCAGCAUUAAUUUAAAGAAGAAUGAGCCUCCACUUACCUGCCCAUAUAGCCUGAAGGCCAGGGUUCUUUUACUGUCUCAUCUUGCUAGAAUGAAAAUUCC
rnacentral:sRNA from 1 species